AUUGUCCUACGGGGGGCAGCAGUGAGGAAUAUUGGUCAAUGGCCAAGAGGCUGAACCAGCCAAGUCGCGUGAGGGAUGACGGCCCUACGGGUUGUAAACCUCUUUUGUCGGGGAGCAAGACCCGCCUCGUGCAGGCGGAGCGAGAGUACCCGAAGAAAAAGCAUCGGCUAACUCCGUGCCAGCAGCCGCGGUAAUACGUAUGGAGCAAGCGUUAUCCGGAUUUACUGGGUGUAAAGGGAGCGCAGACGGCAAGGCAAGUCUGAUGUGAAAGUCCGAGGCUCAACCUCGGGACUGCAUUGGAAACU
rnacentral:rRNA from 1 species